rnacentral:rRNA from 1 species
GAGACCUCAGGUCAGGCGGGGCUACCCGCUGAGUUUAAGCAUAUCAUA